AGCAGUAGCCGCGGGAAUACGGAGGGUGCAAGCGUUAAUCGGAAUUACUGGGCGUAAAGCGCACGCAGGCGGUCUGUCAAGUCGGAUGUGAAAUCCCCGGGCUCAACCUGGGAACUGCAUUCGAAACUGGCAGGCUAGAGUCUUGUAGAGGGGGGUAGAAUUCCAGGUGUAGCGGUGAAAUGCGUAGAGAUCUGGAGGAAUACCGGUGGCGAAGGCGGCCCCCUGGACAAAGACUGACGCUCAGGUGCGAAAGCGUGGGGAGCAAACAGGAUUAGAUACCCGCGUAGUCCCUGUCUCUUAUAC
rnacentral:rRNA from 1 species